rnacentral:siRNA from 1 species
GGCCAUGACAAGAAGUGACUC